rnacentral:rRNA from 1 species
UUUAAAUGGCUGCAGUAAUUUAACUGUACAAAGGUAGCAUAAUAAUUAGUCUUUUAAUUGAGGUCUGGAAUGAAUGGUUUAACAAGAAAAUAGCUUUAUUAAUUUUUAUAAAUUUGAAUUUAAUUUUUUAGUUAAAAAGCUAAAAUUUUUAACUGGGACGAUAAGACCCUAUAGAUCUUAUUUUUUUUAAAAUGAUUUUUUAUUUUGGAUAUUAUUUAAAAAUAAGAGAUAAAAAAAAUUCGUUGGGGUGACGUUAAAAAUUUUAAAACUUUUGAAAAUUUUUUCAUUUAUUGAUGACUAAUUGAUCUUUAAUUUAGGAUUAAUAGAUUAAGAUACCUUAGGGAUAACAGCGUAAUAAAUUUGGAUAGUUCAUAUUGAUAAAUUUGUUUACGACCUCGAUGUUGAAUUAAUUUAAAAUUUUGGAGUAGAAGUUAAAAGUUUAGGUCUGUUCGACCUUUAAUUAAUUACA